AUACGGAGGAUGCAAGCGUUAUCCGGAUUUACUGGGCGUAAAGGGUGCGUAGGUGGUUUCUUAAGUCAGAAGUGAAAGGCUACGGCUCAACCGUAGUAAGCUUUUGAAACUAAGAGACUUGAGUGCAGGAGAGGAGAGUAGAAUUCCUAGUGUAGCGGUGAAAUGCGUAGAUAUUAGGAGGAAUACCAGUUGCGAAGGCGGCUCUCUGGACUGUAACUGACACUGAGGCACGAAAGCGUGGGGAGCAAACAGGAUUAGAUACCCUGGUAGUCCACGCCGUAAACGAUGAGUACUAGCUGUCGGGGGUUACCCCCCUCGGUGGCGCAGCUAACGCAUUAAGUACUCCGCCUGGGAAGUACGCUCGCAAGAGUGAAACUCAAAGGAAUCGACGGGG
rnacentral:rRNA from 1 species